GGUUCUUUUAGACCGGAUGGGGGGAGAGGCCUUACAGCGCCCUAAUGUGCCCCCACAGCCAUGUCAGGAACAGGAGGAGAACCUCGUCCUGACAUGAGCAAAGUUGAAGGCCCGAUUUUUUUAGACCGGAUGGGGAGAGAGGCCUUACAGCGCCCUAAUGUGCCCCCACAGCUAUGUCAGGAACAGAAGGAGAACCUUGUCCUGACAUGAGCAAAGUUGAAGGUCCGAUUCUUUUAGACCGGAUGGUGUGAGAGGCCUUACAACACCCUAACGCGCCCCC
rnacentral:lncRNA from 1 species